rnacentral:rRNA from 1 species
AUUGAACGCUGGCGGCAGGCCUAACACAUGCAAGUCGAACGGUAACAGGAAACAGCUUGCUGUUUCGCUGACGAGUGGCGGACGGGUGAGUAAUGUCUGGGAAACUGCCUGAUGGGGGGGGAUAACUACUGGAAACGGUAGCUAAUACCGCAUAACGUCGCAAGACCAAAGAGGGGGACCCUCGGGCCUCUUGCCAUCGGAUGUGCCCAGAUGGGAUUAGCUUGUUGGUGGGGUAACGGCUCACCAAGGCGACGAUCCCUAGCUGGUCUGAGAGGAUGACCAGCCACACUGGAACUGAGACACGGUCCAGACUCCUACGGGAGGCAGCAGUGGGGAAUAUUGCACAAUGGGCGCAAGCCUGAUGCAGCCAUGCCGCGUGUAUGAAGAAGGCCUUCGGGUUGUAAAGUACUUUCAGCGGGGAGGAAGGGAGUAAAGUUAAUACCUUUGCUCAUUGACGUUACCCGCAGAAGAAGCACCGGCUAACUCCGUGCCAGCAGCCGCGGUAAUACGGAGGGUGCAAGCGUUAAUCGGAAUUACUGGGCGUAAAGCGCACGCAGGCGGUUUGUUAAGUCAGAUGUGAAAUCCCCGGGCUCAACCUGGGAACUGCAUCUGAUACUGGCAAGCUUGAGUCUCGUAGAGGGGGGUAGAAUUCCAGGUGUAGCGGUGAAAUGCGUAGAGAUCUGGAGGAAUACCGGUGGCGAAGGCGGCCCCCUGGACGAAGACUGACGCUCAGGUGCGAAAGCGUGGGGAGCAAACAGGAUUAGAUACCCUGGUAGUCCACGCCGUAAACGAUGUCGACUUGGAGGUUGUGCCCUUGAGGCGUGGCUUCCGGAGCUAACGCGUUAAGUCGACCGCCUGGGGAGUACGGCCGCAAGGUUAAAACUCAAAUGAAUUGACGGGGGCCCGCACAAGCGGUGGAGCAUGUGGUUUAAUUCGAUGCAACGCGAAGAACCUUACCUGGUCUUGACAUCCACGGAAGUUUUCAGAGAUGAGAAUGUGCCUUCGGGAACCGUGAGACAGGUGCUGCAUGGCUGUCGUCAGCUCGUGUUGUGAAAUGUUGGGUUAAGUCCCGCAACGAGCGCAACCCUUAUCCUUUGUUGCCAGCGGUCCGGCCGGGAACUCAAAGGAGACUGCCAGUGAUAAACUGGAGGAAGGUGGGGAUGACGUCAAGUCAUCAUGGCCCUUACGACCAGGGCUACACACGUGCUACAAUGGCGCAUACAAAGAGAAGCGACCUCGCGAGAGCAAGCGGACCUCAUAAAGUGCGUCGUAGUCCGGAUUGGAGUCUGCAACUCGACUCCAUGAAGUCGGAAUCGCUAGUAAUCGUGGAUCAGAAUGCCACGGUGAAUACGUUCCCGGGCCU